GAUGAAGAACGCAGCGAAAUGCGAUAACUAAUGUGAAUUGCAGAAUUCCGUGAAUCAUCGAGUCUUUGAACGCACAUUGCGCCCCCUGGUAUUCCGGGGGGCAUGCCUGUCCGAGCGUCAUUGCUGCCCAUCAAGCACGGCUUGUGUGUUGGGUCCUCGUCCCCCCCGGGGGACGUGCCCGAAAGGCAGCGGCGGCACCGCGUCCGGUCCUCGAGCGUAUGGGGCUUUGUCACCCGCUCUGCAGGCCCGGCCGGCGCUGGCCGACGCGAAAGCAACCAUUUUUUCUCCAGGUUGACCUCGGAUCGGGUAGGGAUACCCGCUGAACUUAAGCAUAUCAAUAAGCGGAGGA
rnacentral:misc_RNA from 1 species